UAAAGCUAUAAACAAAUUCAAGUUUAAACAACGCAUCUUUUAGUAAACGUCGAUAAGACUAACCGCUAAGCUAAAUUGAGAUAGAAUUUUUCUCCAUACAAACUAAGCGAGAAAAUCCGCUUAAUGGACAUUAAGCAAAAUUGAUCACAGAGAUUAUUUAAUAACAGUUGUUAUGUCCUCCAAUGAACUACAUAACUUUAAAAAUAAACAAAAUUGUGUAUAUUUUAAUUAUGGUAAAAAUAAUUGUUUAUAAUAAACUAAUGAUUAAGAUCUCGUA